rnacentral:lncRNA from 1 species
AUGGAAGAUGUGCCAGUUGAAGCUGUACCAGAGAAGCCCACUGAGGUUCCUACAACAGAUCAUUUGGAAAGUGAACCUGUAAGAGAAUUGGUAUCCGUUUCUCCAGUUGUAGAAGAGCCACCUGUUGCCACAGUGGUAGAAGAGGCUCCAGUAGUAGAGCCAUUUGAUUCACCAGUAUCCACAGAAGAAGCAUCUGAUGUCCUGGUGAUAGAACAGGAAAUAUUGGUUGUCCCAGUGACAGAAGAGACACCAGUUUCCUCUGUAACAGAAGAGGGAGCAGUUUCCUUGGUUACCGAAGAAGCUCCUGUUGCUGUGGCUGAAGAUGCACCUGUUGUAGCAACCGAAGAACUUGAGGAAACACCUGCAACCAAAGUAACAGAAGAGGUUAUUCCAGUGGUUGAGGAAGGUGUGGAAGUGAAGGCAGCAGAGGCUAUUGUUACAGAGGCUUCGGUAAGUAUAGUCGAUGAAGAAGCAGCAAGUCCAUUUGUGGAAGUUACAGAAAGUGUUGUUGAACCAGAUGUUGCAAGCACAGUGGUAGCUGAGAAAGUUGCUCUAGCUGAAACAUCAAGUGAGCCUGAUUCUUUGGAAGAGCCCAAACGAGACUACAUAGUGGUUAUCUUGGAGGGAGCUCCCAAAACAGAAAAGAAGCCCAUGGUGCUCGGUGUGUCCCCCAUGAUUGGCAAGAUCAUCUCAGCCCCUGAUGAUGGUGAAGAGCCAUCGGGACAGGUAACAGGGCAAGCGCCGUAUGCUUAACGUGCAGAUGCAUUAGCGCCAACUAAAAAAGGUAACAUUGUGAAAAUCAUGUAUUUUUUUGUUUUUUUACUAAUAUAGUAUAUAAUAUAUUUUAUAAUUGAAAUUUGAUAGUUUUAUCAAAUUUAAUGUUCGGAAAUGUAAACCUUUUUAUUAUAGUCUAUUGUAUAAUACUUGGAUUUUAAAAUAUAUUAUAUAAUGUUUCACAAUAUUAAUUUUUACUGUAUUCUCAAAUCAAAUAAAUGUAGCCUUUAUGAGCACAAAAGACUUCUUUCAAAAACAUUAGGAACUCUUACUGACCCCAAACCAUUGAAAGGACUGUAUAUUGAGAUUUUCAUUCUUGUUUUGUCUUUUUCUCAGUUGGGAGCAGUCAGACGUUCUGGGAUAGUAAACUGGUUCCCUGAUAAAGAAUUAGUGAUGUGCCUCGCCCUUUUCUUACUUACCUGACCCCCUGGAUUUCAGUAAUCCUUACACUGGGCCCAGAAGGCUGUUUCCUUCCGACUCUUUCCACUUACAUGCUGUCCACUGGAGAGUGGUUACUUCAUGUGAACUUUCACUUCACUUUGAUGUGAGACAUACAAGUUUGUGACCUAUCUUUAUACCCUUUUUAAAUGGAACUCCAUUCUUUUUGAGUCAACUGCACAUUGGAGCCUAUACUAUAGUGAACCCUACCUCAAACAUCACAUUUUUAGGACAUGUCUUGGAAACGCCAUGUCAAUAGUUACAAUACCAGCAGGGCUAAACAUUUGCCACAAACACUGUCAUAUCUGCAUGCUGACCACCAAUUUUUUGGUUAGACUUCAGGUUCUCCUCUAUCUUCAAUAUAUGCUAUUUUUCAUUUGCAUUAUUUAUGAAUUAACACCAUUUUUAUAUUUGUACCUCUCUACCUCAGCUUGAAAAGACAGUGUUCUCCUUUAACCAGUAACCAGUAUUAUAGUAACCAACUAACAUUACCAAUGUGACAUGAAUAGGUCAAAAAAACAACUGACAAACAGAUAACCUGUAUCAAUAUUAUCAAUACAACAAUAAGCCAUGUUACAAGUCACAUUCCAGUAUUAAUUUUAAAGGCUGACAUUACAAUAUUAUCCAAAAGGUAAACCCCACUGCUGCAUCCUUUGCCUUUGUUUUCUUGUUCUCUCUUAGUUUGUCACCAUCACCAAACCUAUUAUGAAAAUGUUACACUUACUUUGAUACUAGUUUUGAUGCUCAUUUGAUUUGAGAUUUUGGAAUGGUAGACAGAUAUACUAUAUCGAGCCAGAAGGAAAAUUAAUGUCAGAUUAAAAAAAAAAACAUACCUAACAAUUUUGUUUCUUAUCUCCUUCAUGUUUCAAAAGGGACCUUAUAAGUGUUAUAGGUAAGAUACAACUUUAUAAUGUGAAUGUGAGGGAAUAAUGUGAAGUAUGGUUUAGUAUAAAGGGUGUGUUCAUGGGUUCUUUUUGAUUUUGUUUUCAGGGUUAGGAAUUUAAUACACAUGCAUGUGCUCUUUUGAAGUUUCACCUUUCACCGUAGGCCCUAACUAGCGUUUUAUUUUAUUUUUUUAACUAUGAAUGUAUGUAAAAGAAAAAUAAAGAGUUGAAAAACAUUUCUGUGUGAUCAGGGGCAGAUUUAGUGAAUUGGGGCCCCCAGGCAAAAUCUACACAUGUACACAUUUACCUAUACCUUGAGGUUCCUUUUUUGUUGUGAUGCUUGCUGGUGCACAAUGGUGCCCCAUAGUUGUAUCCAGUGUUUCUACAUUUUUCCUGAGCAUGUUAUGAUGGGCUUUCUUUCAUGAAAUAGCAAUUGAUUUACAGUUGAGAUAAACCUCAUAACUGAGCCUUUAAACCAUUUUAUUGAGAAAAAAGGGAUGAGUCAGAAGUAUAGAUUAUUAUAUCAGUUUAAAACGGGGUUAUGUGGUGGAUUGGUCUGAACAGAAACUGCAGACCGGAUUAUUGAAAAUGAAACAGGAAAAAAAAGUAAUGAAAAGGAAAUAAAACUUUUAAACACCUAAGGAUUAUAUCAACCAAAAAAACUGCUUAUGCGUCCUCUAUUUAGAUCCUUCUCCUAAAUGAGUAAAUGGCAUUUAAAACAAUAAACAUAUAAUAUCCUACGCAUGCACUGUUGCUCUAUAUUAAAUUACAGCAUCAGAUGUAUGAUAUUUUCAUUUGCUACAAGCAGGAUACACAAGAAGCAUGUUCAACGAUAAAUGCGUGUAGCAUGUCUGGACCGGUCACCCCACACACACAGAGACCACACGACCACUCUUCGAUGAGAUUUAGCACUUUCCUUUACUUGGUCUGUAAUAAGGAGAAAUAAUCAGUGGAUCAAAAGGCGACCGCUUCUCCCUCUCUGGCACACAGAGUCAAUUACGGGGAGAGCUCAAUAAUACAUGUGCUCCUUAGCCUAGACUGAGUCAUGUUCUCUAUCAGUCUGUUGACCGGUUUCACAAUCCUACCUACUCUGGUCCGAAUUCUCAUAUCCCCUGAACCAGGAGGUGGCUCAAUAGCUUCAAGAGGUGAAACGCCAUGGUCACUAUGGCAAACUGCCUCAGAAACAGAACUGCGAGAAUCACAACUCUGUCCUUCAUCUGGACUGCUUACACUACUUUCCACCUUGGUACACUCAUUCUUCGAAGCAAAUUGCUCAUGUCCGGUUGACUCAGGGACUCCGUUCAAUGAUUCAAGGCUUUCAGAUCUGCAGGACAACCUCUGCUGAGGGUCGUCAGA